GGGAAUUUUCCGCAAUGGGCGAAAGCCUGACGGAGCAACGCCGCGUGAGGGAAGAAGGCCUCUGGGCUGUAAACCUCUUUUCUCAAGGAAGAAGAUCUGACGGUACUUGAGGAAUAAGCCACGGCUAAUUCCGUGCCAGCAGCCGCGGUAAUACGGGAGUGGCAAGCGUUAUCCGGAAUUAUUGGGCGUAAAGCGUCCGCAGGCGGCCUUUCAAGUCUGCUGUUAAAGCGUGGAGCUUAACUCCAUUAAGGCAGUGGAAACUGUUGGGCUUGAGUGUGGUAGGGGCAGAGGGAAUUCCCGGUGUAGCGGUGAAAUGCGUAGAUAUCGGGAAGAACACCAGUGGCGAAGGCGCUCUGCUGGGCCAUAACUGACGCUCAUGGACGAAAGCCAGGGAGCGAAAGGGAUUAGAUACCCCUGUAGUCA
rnacentral:rRNA from 1 species